GCGGCUUUCACACACCAGCAUCCUAUUGCCAAUCAGGACUGUUGAAGUUCAGUGAUGGCCUCUUUUCGUUGUCAGGAUGUUUAUUCACGUUGCCGCUUCUCCUGCCUAGCUUCUCUGCACUUUCACAAAUUCCUCAGUAAAUUCACCAAAACGUCACCGUGGAGUUCUUGAGUCUGUUUAGCUGAUUGGAGAGCAAUUUUCCGCAGCUAGUGGAUCCAUGACGAUGACUUCAGUUUUGUUGGAUCAGCCGUUUUACUGCCGUGUUACAGACACCGUUUGGAAACAAUUAAGGAAUGAAUGAGGCUUCAGUGUCACUCAAGUCAACCAAAGGACAAUUCUCUGUAGAGCAAAGGAGAGGAAAAUGAAGUUUAGGUGGAGUUAAAAAACAAACAAAAAAACAUGAUGACUUUCCUG